rnacentral:lncRNA from 1 species
AUGAAGCCCUCUGCAGAUGUUGUCCUCCCAUAUGGUAUCCCAUAUGGCUGUAUUUCACUGCUGCUUGGUUUCAAAAGAUCUCUCUCUCCAGAGGCUGCUGAAAGGAGGAGCAGUGUGAGAAAAGAUGAGAGAAGGGGCUUGCAGAAAUCUAGAAGAGGAGGAAGAGGAGAAGUCAGGACGUAUCCACACACAGCGUGUGCCUCAGGGAGCCGCUGCAGGAACUGCAGACAGCAUGGCCUUUGGCACGAGAUGCUCAGGAGGGGGAGGAAUGGUGCUCAGAAGCAGGUGCUUUGGCAGAGGGCUGGCAGAAGGCAGCCCAGCACCUGGCUCCUGAAGUCUCAAAUUUGGUGAAAUUUCAGCCAGUUGACAUCAAUAACCUGCAGUUUAUGUUGUGUUAGUGCUGCAAUUGGGCAUUUUCUGGCGUGAAGCACAAGGCAGAUCUCCUUCCAGGGCAAGGACACAACAGUGGGGCACAGGGUAAGCAGUGCACGUGCAGGGACUCCUGGCACCCUCUGCUGAGCAGCCACAUGAGGGCUGUUCAGGUGCAGAUGCUCAUCUGGAGGUGCUGAAGGUACAGCCCUUUCCCAGCACUGCCCGUGUAUGGAGCCUUGGUGACCACAUUUCCACUCUGGGUGCACUGUUUGGGUCUGACAGACAGGCCCACAGAAGGUAUCACCUGCAAGGCCAACACAGACCUCUGUCAGGGCUCGUGACACUGCCCCUUACAUGCUGGGCAGACAGAGACUGCUGCAGACUUAAAGCACAAAAACUUAUUCAGUCCCCAGCAAGUGUUAGGAGAAAGCAAAAACCAUGGCCUUCUCCACAUCCAAUUCCCUCCAACAAUGAGAUCGUUAGGGGAGAACACCCAAAUCACCCAAUUACCAAGUAGAAUGAAUCUCUUCUGCCUCUACACCUCCCUGAUCUCCAGGAUCCAGGGCCAUCACAAACCUCCAGUAGUUGUCACCACUACCCCAAAAUACUUUCUCCAGCUACUAAGUCCCUUGCAACUGGACCUAGACCUGUGUCUGACUUCCUGGCAGAAAUUGCUGCUGCAGGUGUAAGCUGCUGCCCUGCUUUUCCACCAAGAAAGGCAAUACCUGUCCCAAAUAGACAGAGAACAAGAAAAAGGAGCUCCAUCUCCACAGUGCACUUCACAGUAAGUGCUAUAAUUUAUAGCACAUAAAUACUGUACAUACACCGCUGCGUUUUGCAGACAUUAUCAUCUCAAAGGGUGGGUAGGAGGUGGGAAAACAGCUUGUAACAACUGGAGCUUAGACAGCUGCUUUCUUUGCCACGUCUAAUGCUGUUUAGGGAGGUAAAAUAGGUCUACCCAGCAGUGCCUCUGCUUCUGCUAGGAUACACUGCAGCUCCAUGUGAGGCUUCUGCUGAAUAAUUGGGCUCAAGGCAGAAUCAUGUAAACAGUCUUGUAGGGGCUUUCUGGGAAAAAAAAACAAACAACAUUCCUGACUCCAAGCCUAUCCCUUUCCCAGAAAUAAACUGCACUGUCCUCAUGCUGGGCUUUUGCACUGCUUCUAACACAGUCUGUGUGACCCAACCACUGUGGAUGAAAAUCUGUGCACAGGAUUAAUCUCCCACAAUGCCAGGUAGCACAGCUAAUGGCAUCUUUCAGCUGCAUACAAGACUACUUUAAAA